AUUGAACGCUGGCGGCAUGCCUUACACAUGCAAGUCGAACGGCAGCACGGGAGCAAUCCUGGUGGCGAGUGGCGAACGGGUGAGUAAUGUAUCGGAACGUGCCCAGUCGUGGGGGAUGACGUAGCGAAAGUUACGCUAAUACCGCAUACGAUCUUUGGAUGAAAGCGGGGGAUCGCAAGACCUCGCGCGAUUGGAGCGGCCGAUAUCAGAUUAGGUAGUUGGUGGGGUAAAGGCUCACCAAGCCGACGAUCUGUAGCUGGUCUGAGAGGACGACCAGCCACACUGGGACUGAGACACGGCCCAGACUCCUACGGGAGGCAGCAGUGGGGAAUUUUGGACAAUGGGCGCAAGCCUGAUCCAGCAAUGCCGCGUGCAGGACGAAGGCCUUCGGGUUGCAAACUGCUUUUGUACGGAACGAAACGGUCCUCUUUAAUACAGAGGGCUAAUGACGGUACCGUAAGAAUAAGCACCGGCUAACUACGUGCCAGCCGCCCGCCGUAA
rnacentral:rRNA from 1 species